rnacentral:rRNA from 1 species
CCUACGGGAGGCAGCAGUGAGGAAUAUUGGUCAAUGGACGAGAGUCUGAACCAGCCAAGUAGCGUGAAGGAUGACUGCCCUAUGGGUUGUAAACUUCUUUUAUAUGGGAAUAAAAUGUUCCACGUGUGGGAUUUUGUAUGUACCAUAUGAAUAAGGAUCGGCUAACUCCGUGCCAGCAGCCGCGGUAAUACGGAGGAUCCGAGCGUUAUCCGGAUUUAUUGGGUUUAAAGGGAGCGUAGGCGGAUUGUUAAGUCAGUUGUGAAAGUUUGCGGCUCAACCGUAAAAUUGCAGUUGAAACUGGCAGUCUUGAGUACAGUAGAGGUGGGCGGAAUUCGUGGUGUAGCGGUGAAAUGCAUAGAUAUCACGAAGAACUCCGAUUGCGAAGGCAGUUCACUGGACUGCAACUGACACUGAGGCUCGAAAGUGUGGGUAUCAAACAGGAUUAGAUACCCGAGUAGUC